CAGACACCAUUCCUGCCGGUCAGUGUACAUACAUGCUUGCCUACUGCGUAAAAGAUUCGUUACAAAGCCGAAUGCCGAACCGAGCCCAGUGCUAGCACGUGUCGAUUCCGGUUCAGUAUAGAAGGAAACAGCGCAUUAGACGAAUCUUGCUUCAAGUGUGUUUAUUUUGUGGAAAGUUUAGAAAGUUUUGUGGAAGCUUUGUAGUGCCAAUUUCUUGUAAUUAUGUCAGACAAUGAUCAAAUUUUGAUUGAAUUGACGGCAAGGAACUUAUUAAGAUCAUGGAAGCUCGAGCAAUAUGCAUCGGUGUUUGAAAAGUGAAAAUAAUUUUAUAAAGUUAAGUGAGAAGAAUAUAGGUGAAAAACCUCUUUCACCACGACCAAGUACUUCAAAUAAAUCAAAUAUUCAAGAAACUCAAGAAAUUUCAAAAAACAAUAAUAAUCAAAAGAAAAAGUUGGAAGAAUCUAUUCAAGAGGAAGCCCUAAAAAGUAAUUCUACAAAAAGAAAGAGAGAGAAUGAUGAGUCAAAUGUUAUACGAGGAGAAGUAAGUUACAUGAAUAAUCGAUUUCUCUAAAAUGUUUUGUAAAGUGUUUACUCAAAAAGUAUAAAAAAAAUCUUUUAAAAUUCCUUGAGUUUAUCGCUUUCAAAAAAGUUCAUCUUUUUAAAAAAAAUAUUUUCAACAUUUUUUAAUGCAAAAAGAAAUAU